GUGGGGAAUAUUGGACAAUGGGCGAAAGCCUGAUCCAGCCAUGCCGCGUGUGUGAAGAAGGUCUUCGGAUUGUAAAGCACUUUAAGUUGGGAGGAAGGGCAGUAAGUUAAUACCUUGCUGUUUUGACGUUACCGACAUAAUAAGCACCGGCUAACUUCGUGCCAGCAGCCGCGGUAAUACGAAGGGUGCAAGCGUUACUCGGAAUUACUUGGCGUAAAGCGCGCGUAGGUGGUUUUGUAAGUUGGAGGUGAAAUCCCCGGGCUCAACCUGGGAACUGCCUCCAAAACUGCAUGACUAGAGUACGGUAGAGGGUAGUGGAAUUUCCUGUGUAGCGGUGAAAUGCGUAGAUAUAGGAAGGAACACCAGUGGCGAAGGCGACUACCUGGACUGAUACUGACACUGUGGUGCGAAAGCGUGGGGAGCAAACAGGAUUAGAAACCCUAGUAGUCC
rnacentral:rRNA from 1 species